CUCCCUACGGGGGGCAGCAGUAGGGAAUUUUCGUCAAUGGGCGCAAGCCUGAACGAGCAAUGCCGCGUGAACGAGGAAGGUCUUCGGAUCGUAAAGUUCUGUUGAAGGGGAAAAAGAGCGGAGAGAGGAAAUGGUCUCCGAUUGAUAUUACCCUUCGAGGAAGUCACGGCUAACUACGUGCCAGCAGCCGCGGUAAUACGUAGGUGGCGAGCGUUAUCCGGAAUGAUUGGGCGUAAAGGGAGCGCAGGCGGCGCGUUAAGCCUGGUGUGAAAGCCCGCGGCCCAACCGCGGGAC
rnacentral:rRNA from 1 species